rnacentral:rRNA from 1 species
UUGAAAGGGAAACGAUUGAAGUCAGUCGUACCUUCGGGUAAUCAGCCUUUCGGGUGCGAUUCUGUGGAGCGUGAGGAGUUAAACGCCUUCAUGCCUGCAUAUUCGUGCACUUUGGGUGUACUUGCCCGUGUGGUAGGUUAACAUCAAUUUCGGAUGUCAUAAAAUGGCUGGAGGAAUGUAGCUUCGGUCUCGUACUGAAGUGUUAUAGCCUUUGGUAGAUGUGAUGACCGGGAUUGAGGAUUGCAACGAAUGCCUUUUGGGUUACCCGCCUGAUCUCUGAAAGUUGCUCUGGUGCUGAAAGCGUGCUUACGGUUAUCAAAGUUGACGUUCAAAAGGUUAGAACGGGUUAAAUUCGUUAAGGAUGUUGACGUA